CCUGAAGGAGAAAGAGCUUCAGUUGUGGCUGUGGCCUCCAGUGAGAAGUGCAUUGAAGCAAAGUGGAAAACAAGGUGGAAGCAGCAUCUUCAGAAGGUAUUUACCAUGAGCAAGCUAGAACCACUUACCUAACAGUGCGAGGAAGAAACAGCAACUCUGGAGAAGUUUGGUGUGCGUCAUGGCCGCUGCAGGGGCUCAACAGAUGUGCCUGACUGAGCCCAGUCUGGACCGGUACUUAUAGGAGAUGGAGGGGGGUGUCUGUGUAAACACCAUAACGCGUGUCAAGUGUGAUGGGUUCUGAUGGCUGUAAAGCAUUACCCAAGGACUGCUCCUCACUUAUUGUCUGAGUCGAGGGCCCGGGAGCCAUGUCUGAACACUCUGCUUGGCGUCAUGAGCUGCCGCCAAACGCCAACACAGCCGCUUGCCUUGCUCGCUACCGUCCCGCUAGGAGAGGAAUUGAUUAUUUUGGCAUGAGCCGAGGAAAAGAAAAGGCAAGGCAGCCCAACGCCCAAGAUAGAAGAACAUGCGAAAAAAUAGCCUCAGAGCUGCAGCAAUAUGAACGGAACAAAAUGGAUGGUUUGGACACUGGAGGCCUCAUGAGGAUCUCAUGAAGGGAAACCAUGAUGAUUUAGACACCAAUCAAAAGAAGAGGCGGAGUCACCAUGAGCGGUGCGAUAUCAGGCAUGUUUUAAACAUUACGAAGAAGUUGGAACUGUUUUUUGGGCGGCCCCUGUCAAAGGAGUCAUAUUUUUUGAGGAUGUGAAGUUUUGCAGUCUGUCAUUUUCUGCUCCAUCAGUUUGAGUUAGAAAAAUGACUCCUUUCAUAAACUCAAGACGACAGGCCUUCGGAUAGCCAUGAUUCAUCUUGCCCUCUCCACAUGAAGAAUGAGACAUUGCCAUGCUUGUCUAACUAUUUUGAUGUUGCUUGGCUUCAGGUAAAUUUAGGAAAAAGGUUGCCUGCUAUGAGGGACGCUUUAUUAAGCGGGAGUAAAAUAAGAGAUCCUGGAACACCUUGGUAAUUGUAGUCUUUCAGCUGACCGCGCUGAUGCAUAAAUGGCAAGAGAAAUGUGAAAACUUUUCACACACACACACACAAAAACACUCACGGAAAAGGGAAGAAUCUGGAAAGCAUUUUUUUUUUGCCAACUCACAAGUCUAUUCAAUAAUCUGUCACGUUUAAAUGUGAAAGCAUAACCUCUAAAAAGUUGUAUUCUUCCAUAAAGCAAGGCACACAAGACAGAGUGAGAGAAGGACUGCACUGCCAAUAUGUCACACGGUAAAAAGCUUUAAAUUAGAGCCUGUAUACGCCUGUUGGAGGCUACAUUCAUCAUACUCAGUGCUGGUCUGGUUCUUACAAUUUUGGCAGUAAGAGCUUCCACAUGCCAAGAUUGCACUAGAGAGAGAGAGAGAGAGAAAGAGAGAGAGAGAGAGAGAGAGAGAGAGAGGGGAGAAGGGAAAAGGGGGAAGAAAAAAUCACAGGUUAUCAGCAGAAGUUUACAUGUCUUUAAUCAGUCUGCAGUUAAUUAGCGGCUUCCACACAAUGCAGCCACAAGUCAUUAAUCAUAGGAGCUGCGAGGCGAGCAGUCAGCCCAGCUCCAUCCAAGCAACAAAAGUUUUGUUUUCCAUGAAGGGGCCUGAGAGUGGAGUGGAGUGGCCUGGACUGGCUGGCGUUGCUUUCGCUCGCUCCCUCACUUUGCUUCAGUGUCGGAACAAUUGCACACAGGGUCCCAGGGCAAGGCACUUAUAGGGCCCCCUAUACAGCUUGCCAAGCUCACAAUAGGGCCCACACCACCAAUACGGGAGGGCCCUGGGCCCAGGGGCAAGUGCCCUGCUCGCCCUCCCUAUUGCUCCGCCCCUGCUUUGCUUGCUCCCUCCCGCCGCCAUUAGUCUGGGAAUGAAAGGCUGUGUUGCGGCAGGAGGCCUGACAGACAAGGCCCCACUGUUCAGCUCCCUGUUGGGCCCGGUUUGCCUGCCUGCCUGCCUGCCUGCCUCCCUGCCUGCCUGCCUGCCUGCCUGCCUGCCUGCCUGCCUGCCUGCCUGCCUGCCUGCCUGCCUGCCUGCCUGCCUGCCUGCCUGCCUGCCUGCCUGCCUGCCUGCCUGCCUGCCUGCCUGCCUGGGCUCCCCCCUCUGCACAAAAGAUGACUUCACCCCUUAAACAAAGCUUACACACACAAGCACAUGCGUGUGCACAAUCAUACUACACACACAGACACGCAUAUCCAUACCAUAACCACACUCUCACACGCAUGCACACAGAUUGACACGCACGGACUGAAGUAGGCAAACAGACAGAUAGGCAGGUCAACUGAUCGACAUAAGCAGACUUAUCAGUGUGUCACCUCAUGGUCCUUCCAAGACAACCCCUCCCGCCCCAACCACCACCACCCCAAUUAAACACACGCACACGCAGGCA